GAUUUAUUACCAUUUCUUUGCAUGUCAAAGUGAAGAAAUUCAACCAAGCAUGGGUAAAUGGAAAGAGUAACUAUGACUCUCUUAAGGUAGCGAUAUGCCUCAUCAUCUAAUUAGUGAUGCACAUGAAUGGAU
rnacentral:ncRNA from 1 species